CUAUGGCUCAAUGGUACAGCAUCUGCUUUGCAUGCAGGAGCUCCCAGGUUCAACCCCUGUAGGGCUGUGAAAGA